GGGCGUUUAGCUCAGUGGUAGAGCGCCCGCUUUGCAUGCGGGAGGUCGAGGGUUCGAUCCCCUCAUCGUCCA
rnacentral:tRNA from 1 species